UACAGAGGGGGCAAGCGUUGUUCGGAAUUACUGGGCGUAAAGGGCGCGUAGGCGGCCUUCUAAGUCGAACGUGAAAUCCCCGGGCUCAACCCGGGAACUGCGUCCGAUACUGGAAGGCUUGAAUCCGGGAGAGGGAUGCGGAAUUCCAGGUGUAGCGGUGAAAUGCGUAGAUAUCAUUUGGAACGCCAAUGGUGAAAACAGGUAGCUGGGGAUGUGCUGACGCUGAGACACGAAAGCCAGGGGAGCGAACGGG
rnacentral:rRNA from 1 species